AUCUAUGGCCACGCCACCCUGAAUGUGCCACAAUCUCGUCUGAUCUCGUCGGGCCUGGUUAAUACUUGGAUGGGAGACUCCCUAGGAAUACCAGGUGCUGUAGGCU
rnacentral:rRNA from 1 species